CGUGCGCCCUGAAAAAGGACCGAAAGGCUGUGCAGCGGGCAAUCCCGGACCGCUAAAUCCUUGCAAACCCACUGUGCACUUUUGUCGGCAAGGGGCCUUAGCGGGUCCUGUGCCGGAUAACAAACACUUUGUUUAAAAGAAUGCAAGCGGACAUUGAGCCGCCCAAACUUUAACAACUUUCAACAACGGAUCUCUUGGCUCUCGCAUCGAUGAAGAACGCAGCGAAAUGCGAUAAGUAAUGUGAAUUGCAGAAUUCAGUGAAUCAUCGAAUCUUUGAACGCACCUUGCGCUCCUUGGUAUUCCGAGGAGCAUGCCUGUUUGAGUGUCUUGAAGUCAUCAACCCCUCCCGUUUUGUGCGGUGAGGUGUGUUGGAGUUGGGGGACUGCGGUCGCGAGGCCGCUCCCCUCAAAUGCUUCGGUUGGGCCUGUGGGUCGAACUCGGUUGGGCGUUGUAACAACCUCGCUCUCCUCCGAGAAGUUCCCCUGAUGUCGCCCCUCCACGACCGCCUAUCGAGUGGGGNGGUCAAACAACUUUGAAAUCUGACCUCAAAUCAGGUAGGACUACCCGUAA
rnacentral:rRNA from 1 species